UUUGAUGUAUAUGGUAAAGAAAACUCCCAAGCCAUAAGUGAUGGUCAUUUAUUAUGGCAAGCUGACGGAGAUGUUCCGGGUUUCGAACUAUCAACUUUAUAAUGCAUAUGCAUGGUCCAAACUGUUCUCACGACAAAGGGUACUGCAGGAGUUGCCAUAGCUAGUGUUUUGGGAGUCUAAUGUAUGCUUAUAACAGAGCACAAUGGACAAAAACAAUGGAGGCUAUGGAUAUGUUUCAGCUGCUCAAGAUCCUAACAGUAUCCUAACUAAGGCUAUGUCGGUCCUGGAUAUGGUAACAUGUAUUAUGCCAACUAUUGGGUCUAUAUUUAUACCGCCACAUGAUAUCUUAUAAAUGCAUUUUUUUUAUAUAUAAAUUGGAAUUAAUUAGUUUAUGGGAUUCAUGUAUAAUCAACGACUAGAAGACUAGAAUUUGAGAAUGAUAUCGUGCCAGAUUGAACGUGGUAUGGCUAGCUAGUCCAAACUGGUAGCUAGGAUUAUCUUUUAAAUUUCUAUAUGGUAGAUUGAUUAGUCCUAUUUUGGCAAACUACUGCAAUGAUAUUCAAGUGGUGUAGGGUAGGAGUAUCGUAGCUUGUGGAUUGGUUCCUUGUUUGUCUUUAAAAUGCGGAAUACUGCGAAUGUCUCC